UUGGAAAAAGACAAGGAGGCUUUGUCAUCACAGCUGGAAGAAAACUGGAAACUGAUUGAAAAAAUAGAGCCUUUCAGAGAUGUCUUGGAUAAUUUUCAAAUG
rnacentral:sRNA from 1 species